CCUUAGUUCAAUGGUAGAACGCUAGCUUCCCAAGCUGGACACACGGGUUCGAUUCCCGCAGGG
rnacentral:tRNA from 1 species